UACGUAGGGUGCGAGCGUUAAUCGGAAUUACUGGGCGUAAAGCGUGCGCAGGCGGCGCGUUAAGACAGGUGUGAAAGCCCCGAGCUUAACUUGGGAAUUGCGCUUGUGACUGGCGAGCUGGAGUGUGGCAGAGGGAGGUGGAAUUCCACGUGUAGCAGUGAAAUGCGUAGAGAUGUGGAGGAACACCGAUGGCGAAGGCAGCCUCCUGGGCCAGCACUGACGCUCAUGCACGAAAGCGUGGGGAGCAAACAGGAUUAGAAACCUUACGUAG
rnacentral:rRNA from 1 species